UACGUAGGGUGCAAGCGUUGUCCGGAAUUAUUGGGCGUAAAGAGCUCGUAGGCGGUCUGUCGCGUCGGAUGUGAAAAUCCAGGGCUCAACCCUGGACCUGCAUUCGAUACGGGCAGACUAGAGUUCGGUAGGGGAGACUGGAAUUCCUGGUGUAGCGGUGAAAUGCGCAGAUAUCAGGAGGAACACCGGUGGCGAAGGCGGGUCUCUGGGCCGAAACUGACGCUGAGGAGCGAAAGCGUGGGGAGCGAUCCGG
rnacentral:rRNA from 1 species